CACCCAACAGCUAGCCCCUCCAACCAAAAGUAACAAACCACUAUUAAUAACCCCAAAU
rnacentral:rRNA from 1 species